rnacentral:rRNA from 1 species
GACGAACGCUGGCGGCGUGCUUAACACAUGCAAGUCGAACGGAAAGGCCCUGCUUUUGUGGUGUGCUCGAGUGGCGAACGGGUGAGUAACACGUGAGUAACCUGCCCUUGACGUUGGGAUAACUUCAGGAAACUGGGGCUAAUACCGGAUAGGAGCUCCUGCUGCAUGGUGGGGGUUGGAAAGUUUCGGCGGUUGGGGAUGGACUCGCGGCUUAUCAGCUUGUUGGUGGGGUAGUGGCUUACCAAGGCUUUGACGGGUAGCCGGCCUGAGAGGGUGACCGGCCACAUUGGGACUGAGAUACGGCCCAGACUCCUACGGGAGGCAGCAGUGGGGAAUAUUGCACAAUGGGCGGAAGCCUGAUGAAGCAACGCCGCGUGCGGGAUGACGGCCUUCGGGUUGUAAACCGCUUUCGCCUGUGACGAAGCGUGAGUGACGGUAAUGGGUAAAGAAGCACCGGCUAACUACGUG